rnacentral:rRNA from 1 species
AGCGAACGCUGGCGGCAGGCCUAACACAUGCAAGUCGAACGAAGUCUUCGGACUUCGUGGCGGACGGGUGAGUAACACGUGGGAACGUGCCUUUAGGUUCGGAAUAACUCAGGGAAACUUGUGCUAAUACCGAAUGUGCCCUUCGGGGGAAAGAUUUAUCGCCUUUAGAGCGGCCCGCGUCGGAUUAGCUAGUGGGUGAGGUCAAGGCUCACCAAGGCGACGAUCAGGAGCUGGUCUGAGAGGAUGAUCAGCCACAUUGGGACUGAGACACUGCCCAAACUCCUACGGGAGGCAGCAGUGGGGAAUCUUGCGCAAUGGGCGAAAGCCUGACGCAGCCAUGCCGCGUGAAUGAUGAAGGUCUUAGGAUUGUAAAAUUCUUUCACCGGGGACGAUAAUGACGGUACCCGGAGAAGAAGCCCCGGCUAACUUCGUGCCAGCCGCCGCAGUAAUAC